rnacentral:rRNA from 1 species
UAGCUUGCUACCUGACCUAGCGGCGGACGGGUGAGUAAUGCUUAGGAAUCUGCCUAUUAGUGGGGGACAACAUUCCGAAAGGAAUGCUAAUACCGCAUACGCCCUACGGGGGAAAGCAGGGGAUCUUCGGACCUUGCGCUAAUAGAUGAGCCUAAGUCAGAUUAGCUAGUUGGUGGGGUAAAGGCCUACCAAGGCGACGAUCUGUAGCGGGCCUGAGAGGAUGAUCCGCCACACUGGGACUGAGACACGGCCCAGACUCCUACGGGAGGCAGCAGUGGGGAAUAUUGGACAAUGGGCGAAAGCCUGAUCCAGCCAUGCCGCGUGUGUGAAGAAGGCUUUUUGGUUGUAAAGCACUUUAAGCGAGGAGGAGGCUACUUGGAUUAAUACUCUAGGAUAGUGGACGUUACUCGCAGAAUAAGCACCGGCUAACUCUGUGCCAGCAGCCGCGGUAAUACAGAGGGUGCGAGCGUUAAUCGGAUUUACUGGGCGUAAAGCGUGCGUAGGCGGCUUUUUAAGUCGGAUGUGAAAUCCCUGAGCUUAACUUAGGAAUUGCAUUCGAUACUGGGAAGCUAGAGUAUGGGAGAGGAUGGUAGAAUUCCAGGUGUAGCGGUGAAAUGCGUAGAGAUCUGGAGGAAUACCGAUGGCGAAGGCAGCCAUCUGGCCUAAUACUGACGCUGAGGUACGAAAGCAUGGGGAGCAAACAGGAUUAGAUACCCUGGUAGUCCAUGCCGUAAACGAUGUCUACUAGCCGUUGGGGCCUUUGAGGCUUUAGUGGCGCAGCUAACGCGAUAAGUAGACCGCCUGGGGAGUACGGUCGCAAGACUAAAACUCAAAUGAAUUGACGGGGGCCCGCACAAGCGGUGGAGCAUGUGGUUUAAUUCGAUGCAACGCGAAGAACCUUACCUGGUCUUGACAUAGUAAGAACUUUCCAGAGAUGGAUUGGUGCCUUCGGGAACUUACAUACAGGUGCUGCAUGGCUGUCGUCAGCUCGUGUCGUGAGAUGUUGGGUUAAGUCCCGCAACGAGCGCAACCCUUUUCCUUAUUUGCCAGCGGGUUAAGCCGGGAACUUUAAGGAUACUGCCAGUGACAAACUGGAGGAAGGCGGGGACGACGUCAAGUCAUCAUGGCCCUUACGACCAGGGCUACACACGUGCUACAAUGGUCAGUACAAAGGGUUGCUACCUAGCGAUAGGAUGCUAAUCUCAAAAAGCCGAUCGUAGUCCGGAUUGGAGUCUGCAACUCGACUCCAUGAAGUCG